UAGGUACUCCCUCCGUUUGAAAUUACUUGUCUCGGAAAUGGAUGUAUCUAGAACUAAAAUACGUCUAGAUACAUCCAUUUCCGAGACAAGUAAUUUCAAACGGAGGGAGUAGAUA
rnacentral:pre_miRNA from 1 species